AAGCCAGCUAAUUAAUCUGCGUAUGUCAAUGUUUCUGCAGAAAUUUAUAAAGGCUGGUAAUAAUGAUGCCAUGAUACAAGCCUUAAGGAAAGCUGAAGUCUUCAAGGUCCCUGAAAAUGGCUACAGUG